rnacentral:rRNA from 1 species
AUCGAACGCUGGCGGCAGGCUUAACACAUGCAAGUCGAACGAGUGGCGGACGGGUGAGUAAUGCUUUGGAACCUAGCUUAUGGAGGCGGAAAACUGUGGGAAACCUUAGCAAAUACUGCUUAACAUGGUAUGAGCCUAAGUGGGAUUAGGUAGUUGGUGAGGUAAAGGCUCACAAAGCCGACGAUGUAUAGCUGGUCUGAGAGGAUGACCAGCCACACUGGGACUGAGACACGGCCCAGACUCCUACGGGAGGCAGCAGUGGGGAAUAUUGCGCAAUGGAGGAAACCUGACGCAGCCAUGCCGCGUGAAUGAAGAAGGCCUUCGGGUUGUAAAGUUCUUUCGGUAGAGAGGCGUUAACUACAGAGGAAGCAACGGCUAACUCCGUGCCAGCCGCCGCGGUAAUUC